GCGGGUGAGGUGUUACCGGUUGCACUCCAGCCUUCCAAGCUGGCGGAACGGGUUCAAGUCCCGUCACCCGCU
rnacentral:tRNA from 1 species